rnacentral:rRNA from 1 species
UGGGGAAUAUUGGGCAAUGGGCGAAAGCCUGACCCAGCAACGCCGCGUGAAGGAAGAAGGUUUUCGGAUUGUAAACUUCUGUCCUCAGGGAAGAAAAGAAUGACGGUACCUGGGGAGGAAGCCCCGGCUAACUACGUGCCAGCAGCCGCGGUAAUACGUAGGGGGCGAGCGUUGUCCGGAAUGACUGGGCGUAAAGGGCGCGUAGACGGCCGAUUAAGUCUGGAGUGAAAGUCCUGCUUUUAAGGUGGGAAUUGCUUUGGAGACUGGUUGGCUUGAGUGCGGAAGAGGUAAGUGGAAUUCCCAGUGUAGCGGUGAAAUGCGUAGAGAUUGGGAGGAACACCAGUGGCGAAGGCGACUUACUGGGCCGUAACUGACGUUGAAGCGCGAAAGCGUGGGGAGCGAACAGG